UACAGAGGGUGCAAGCGUUAAUCGGAAUUACUGGGCGUAAAGCGCGCGUAGGUGGUUUGUUAAGUUGAAUGUGAAAUCCCCGGGCUCAACCUGGGAACUGCAUCCAAAACUGGCAAGCUAGAGUAUGGUAGAGGGUGGUGGAAUUUCCUGUGUAGCGGUGAAAUGCGUAGAUAUAGGAAGGAACACCAGUGGCGAAGGCGGCUACCUGGACCAACACUGACACUGAGGUGCGAAAGCGUGGGGAGCAAACAGG
rnacentral:rRNA from 1 species